ensembl:lncRNA
GCCCAGAUGCUACUUGGCCUCCAGCAGACUUUGUGCUGUGACCAUUGGCUGGAGGAGCCUCUUCAGUUUCUGUGGCUCUUCCGUAACUCUCUCACAUGGAUAGACCUAUUUUAGUCUGACCUGUCCUAAAGCAUAGCCAGCUGCUCUGGCUGUCCUGCAGGGUAAGGACAAAGCAGUUUUCUAUUCAUGUCCCAAGGUCAGUACAAAAACAAACACAUUUUAUAUCUGAUAGCAAAAAGCAUUCAUCAGUGCAACUUUUUCAUUCUGUAAAUGGCCACAGAUUUCACAAGGUGAUCACCCUGGAUUUAGGGAAGGCUGUGCUCCAGAUAUGUAGUGACUUGGAUGUAUUAUGAAUAUGCACAUGACACAUUUCAUUGCCUACAAUUAGCAGUAAACAGCCUUUUGAGGCUUGAAGUUUGUUAUGCGCCACAGUGUUACAGGACAAAGCAAGUUCACUCUCAAGAAACAAGAUUUUUUAGCAUACAGCCUGGCAAAUUUAGCCUGGGAAAUGAAGAAACUUAUUCAGGAUGACUUGUCAUAGUACAUUUACUAUAGAAAUCUAUGCCAGCUCAGAAGUUACCACUUUACCCCCCAGCAGCAGCAGUUUUAAUUGGGCCACAGAAGGAGUCUUGCAGAGGUGGAAGGUAUUUGGGUUUCCCUGAGGCUCAGAGUUCUUCCCUGAAAGGAAGCCUCACAUCUUGUUGGCUCCAAGUAAAAGGAUAAAUUGUAGUGUGCUUGAGUAUUAAGUUGUACAACAUCAGCUGCAGAUUUGCAGUUUGGGUUGAUGUGCUAAAGUACGGUAUCCUGCUGAACAUCCUUUGUGUGAUAUAUCUGCCUACCUCUGCCUUGACAGUGUUUGCUUCUCCCUCUUGAUCCUGCCUGUAAAGUCACAAGUAGUAUGUUUCAUUUAUCCCAACCGUGUACCUUUUUCCUAAUGACCUCAUUUUUCUAAAACAGAGGAAGAUGGGGCAGUAAUGGGGAGGACAUUUGUUCUGUAUUCCUGUACAUACCUUCUCCCAAGACUCUCUCACUCUACACUGACAUGACGGUGGAAUUAAAGAAGUAUUUCUUCAUAAAAAGCCAUAGCUGUGAAUAUUCAUCUUUCAAGUAAAGCGCCAUGGAAGUGGGCCUUCUUACAGGACUCUUGCCGGCUGCCACUCCUGCUGACAAAGAAGAUUGCAAGAAGAAUUUGAAUAAAGGACAAACGUCACAUAUGCUGUGUGCUAUGGAGGACAAAUGCUGAAUACAAAAUAUGUUUAAUUGCUGAGUUAAUUAUCUCACUAAAGUCUAAAUGUUGUUUUUCGGCACUCUUCCCCUCCCCCCCCCAGUUGUUUACUUUUAUCAGUUAGAAAAUAAAAAAUCAAUGUCAUGAAAAACAUAAUUAUAUUCCUACUAAUCUGGAGUGUUUUCUCAUUUGAGUACUGCAGUCUGAUGCAUUUUAUCACUUUCCAUCAGAUUAUAGCAGUGGAAAUUGCCAGCUAAAAGCUAUGGCUCUAGAGCAAAAAAGGGGAAGAAGAAAACCCACCCCAGAGCCAUGUGCCUUGCCAAUCAAAUCUUGCUCCUAAUGACAAAGCUUCUGUGAUUUCCUUUCUGACAAUACAUGAAUAGCUGGUGAAUAAUUGGUUCAACAGGAGCUUCAUUAAAGUCCAAGAGAGAAAACAGGAUCUUUCAUGUGAAUAAUUUGGAAUGAUUGGUAAAGACGAGGCAUUAUUAUAGGAUUGCCUUCUGCUCCACAGUCUGAAAUCCGCAGCCUCUUUCUUGCAGAAGUGUGAAAACAUUUUGUAAAUAGUUCUAGCUACUCCCAAGUUCUGGAUGAUCUUGCUACUUAGCGAGAUGACUUUUUGGUUGAUAUUGUUUCUGCAUUAAAUGCACCCAUUCUUUACACAAAUGAAAGAAACUGAGCUUCGUCUGGGGAGCCCAGCUGAGGACACAUCCUCACACUCCCAGUUUGAACAGAUCUGGUGUAAGCUCCACCACUCCUCCGCCACUUCACUGUAAAAGAUUGAUGGCAGCAACCCACAGGAACCCAGACCCUGUGGAAAUGUGCACUGGCCUACCCCACUGCAGUGCUUCAGUGUGUGCCACCCAACCUGGAACAGCAAAUAUGGAGGAGGUCCGUGCACCAACCAGCCUGUCCUCAGCUGCUCAACCACUGCGGCCUUCCUGGUGGGCAGAAAUAACAGCUGAGGCUCAGCCUGGCCUUUGGUCAGAGUGGUGAACAGUACACAGGAAAGUGACCUGUGGCCAUUUACAGGAGCAGAAAAGGUCAUGCCAGAGAGCAGGUGUAAGGCUCUCCUCCUGGUACCACUGGUCCUGGUGGCCAGGCAGCACUGGACAAUGGGGCCCUGUCAGAGCUCAUGCAGCUCUGUGUCACCCACCAGCAAGUUUGGAAAAGACAAAUGAAGCAGAGAUGAGCUCUGGGUUUCAGGAACUGACCAAACCCUGGGGUUGGAGUCUGACACCCUACAAACACAGGGCAAUUGUUGAGUUUUGCAUCUAAGCUCCCUCCUCAGUGACUGGAACCCUGGCCUGCAGAGCCCAGUGUUUCUAACCAGAGCCAGCUUACCUGGCCUUGCUUGGGAUGUCAGGUGGCCCUAACUUGCCAUUUGGCAUCCUAAUCUCUAGCUGUACCUCGGUUUUCAACAAACAGCCCCUUUUUUUAAAAAAAAAAAAAAAAAAA